AAACCAUGAUGAGGGCAUUGAGACCAAUAGCCCUUGAAACUCUCUAGACCUUUCUGUUGAAACCCAGAGAUUUCGUUCCUGAUCUU
rnacentral:snoRNA from 1 species